GGGCAGAUUUGAUUGUGUUGGGCACCUUUAUCACUGAGCGUUGUCGCUGUGUCGGAGGAGCCUCCUUCCUUUUCUUUCUCAAAAAUUUUUUCCUUUCUUUCACUCCUGAUUCUCCGUGGCUUUGUCACCUUAUGACACCAAUUUUUUGUCAUGUUGUUGGUGAUAUCUCACAUCCUCUGCCACUCCAAAACUAUAUACAAGACAAAAUAUGCCCUCAAGUCAGCCAGUGUCGGCAGCAACUACGACAUGACUAGCGAGUGAAUAGACGUUUCUUGUUUCUCAGGGGACAAUGAUAACAACGUUCAUGCCUAAUAACAUGUUUGGUACUCUGGUUUCGG
rnacentral:misc_RNA from 1 species